AAUUUUAAAAGAAAUGACUGGGAGCCAUUACCUUGGGUUCUUUCCGGUGAACUUCCACUCGUGAGUAAACGAAUAUAUAGUUUUACCACUAGUCAUGUAGUUCAAUAUUUAUCAUCUUAAUUUAUGUAGAAAAUAACUUUUAAGUGCAAUCCCCAAUUCCUCCUCCGCUAAUUUUUUUUUUCAAAAAAUUAUAAAAAGUAGUGAGAUUAAUAAUUGAAUUCGGGAAGUUAUUAUGCCCUUUACUAGAACAACUUAACCCCCAAAAAAUAAAAAUAAAUAAAAAUCUCCGAUUUGGGAUUAAAUGAGACGCCGAAAGCUGAAGCUUAAGGUAAUAUAUCAUGAUCGAAAUUAUGGAUAUUAAUGGAGAAAAAACAUUUGGAAGCAAAAGUAGUUACCUUCCUCGGCCAUUGAUUGGAGAAAAUAUUAAAGCAGACAUAAUUGUUAGAUCUGACUUACUCAAAUUGAAGACGC
rnacentral:lncRNA from 1 species